UUGGCUGUCGGAGGGGCGCUUUUUUGAACUGCAGGUCCUUGAAGGGUGAUGCAGUUUGAAGCUGGAGGAUCUCUAUAUAAAUAUCCGAUAGCAGCUAGGUCCGCUAACUUUCAGCAGCUGUUGAAAGGAUAAAGUUGUGAGUCCACAGCCCCUGUGCCCUACGACAAUGUUGGCCAAAACUUUACUGUUGUGUUUCCGGAGAACAUCGCCAACUACUACCCCAGCCCGCCCACAAACAUGGUCAAAAUCACUGCUUUGAAAGACGGGACAACAGUCACACUUCAACAGUACGGCAAUCCUAAGCAUCGGGACCUGGACGCUGGAGAUGUUUGGAAUUUCACUGCGAAUGCAACGCUGGAACUCGGGAAGCAAAACAUCUCCAACAAUACUCUGACCAUUAACAGCAACAAAAAUAUCAUCGUUCAAGCCAUCAGCCUUAAACAAGACAGUCUGCAGACUGCUGUCGUCAUACCUACAGACAAACUCAGCACAAAGUACCUCAUCCCACCAAUACCCACAAUUCCCGGCACAAAUAAUCCUCAGGACUUAGUUGUGCAGACGGUGACGGAGCGAGGCCCGUUCAGAAUCAUUAUCGUCAACGGAGUUCAGGAGCAAAACAACGUGACCGUCGAAGGAUUAAAGACACAAGAAGUUUCCCUCCAGUCAGGCCAGGUCGCUCAGAUCUGGUUGGAGGAGGGCGCAGGGUUUAAAAAUGUGACGGCUGAAAAGCCAGUGGCCGUCCUCUUUGGCCACCCCUGCGCCAUCCUGGGCAACUGCAGCUGCGGGCUGCUCUACACCAUUCUGCCGCCAGCCCCAGGAGCGACGCUGAAGUACUUAGUUCCUCCAUUAUUGGCCAAGGAUGCUGAGGGAGAGACGAGGGUACUUUUGGCACAGAACGGUUCCACCAGCGUCAAACCCUACGACUCAAGCUCGCUGAUGUAUGAUGUAGCCGGCACAGCCAUCCUCUACCGGCCAGGCUUACUCCUCCCUCUGAUCCCAACGGCAAACUUUGCCUGCUGCUUUGUGGUCACAGCAUUCCCCGUGAUCUCCAAUAACUACGCCGUGAUCGUGGUCAGCAGUAACGUCACCGAUGGGGUUCGUGUUGGAAAGGACCGCAUAUCAAGUGCAGACUGGAAGACACUGGGGGGGACUGGUUACAGCUCGACACAAGUUCUUCUGAGUUUGGGUACCACUGUCAUCUGGCACACUUCCUCCAAAAUGGCCGUCUACUUUCAGGGAAACAAUGGAAGCACUUUGAUUGGGAACCAGGCACCUGUCAUCAGUUCAAGCCCAGAUUUCAGGGGCUGCGUCGUGACUCCCGAGGUUGUGGACUUGGAAGAACAACCCAACGGUUGGCGUGAAUCUUUUAAAAACUGCGCUGACAGCAACCUGGAGCUGCUCUGCCUGUCGAGCACAGACCUCCAGAAACAGAUCUAUGGCAAACUUAACCAGAACAGGUCUUUAAAUAGCAAUGCUAUACAAGAGGUGUGGAUCGGCAUGCGGCGCAGUUCGCUGAAUGGGCAGUGGUACUGGGUGAACGGGGACAGCGUCAACAGCACCAACUGGGGUGACGGUAAGCCCGGUGGGGUGGAGGAAGGCCAGUGCGCCAUCAUGAGUCUGGGAAAUGGCACGGACUUUGAGUGGAGCGACGACGAUUGCUGCAAGGAUGUUCAUUAUAUCUGCUACAAGGAGCCGGAGCUCUUCCCCAUAUAGGACCGGAACGCUCCUCUGCAGCUCUGCACUGUCAUUAGUUUCUCAUCCUACUCACAUAUAACCAUGCUGUAGCUGCCAGUCGCAUUAAUAUUUUAUGGCUCUGUAGAAGAAAAACAGGUGAUGCAAAGAUAUUUUGGUGCAUGUACUCUAGUUUAGUCUGAGGGUUUCUUCACAGCACACCGUGAUGCUGACACCUGAGCAACAAACCAGCAGCAUCUUUUUCCUGAAAAACAAAACAAAUCUGUAACUAAGCAUUUAAGAAAGUUUCACUUUGCAGAUGAUGUUCCUUUGUAUAUGUCUGCUGAUCUGACUGGGAAAUGUUAUGAUUGUACUGGUACAGUGGUUGGAAACCAGUGUGCAGCAUCACUGGUUUCCUGUUUCCUCUGAGAGAGUGUGAACUUUUAUUUGUCAAUAUUUAAAGUGUUUGAGCUUCGUGUCUUUGAUGACAUCAGCGUUUUAAACUUAGAACUGAAUUUGGUCGACAGUCACAAAAUAUGUAAACAACAUUCAUCUGUCAGCACCAGCCUUUGGUCAUAAUCAGCUGUGCAGAAGCUUCAGCAGGUGGAAAUGAGAGUGAUGAUAACUCAUAUUUACUGUUUAAGGUGUUUGCUUAUAGAUGUUAGCUUCCCUUUGCUGAAUGACUGGUGACCCAUCCUGCUGCUGUCUGCUGAUAGGAUAGUUCUUCAUUACAAACUGAAGAUGGAAAUUCAAGUGUGAUUUUAUUGUUUAAGGAUUCGUAAACUGAGCUGAAUGAAAAGUUUACAGGUAACCUCGUCAUCCUGAUGCUUCAUAUUUACCGGUUUGAAGUCGACUCAGCAGAGUUUGUAUGUUGAACUGUUGAAUCUGCAGUCUGAUUGGUCAGAAUCAUCUAUGCACCAGUUUUAUUGUAAAAAUGAUAAUUCCAGUCAAUCAUGGACUCAACGACGUAUCAAUAAAUCUGUUUUGCUGUGAC
ensembl:lncRNA